rnacentral:misc_RNA from 1 species
UCGUAACAAGGUUUCCGUAGGUGAACCUGCGGAAGGAUCAUUAACGAGUAAACAGGGGAGUUGUAGCUGGCCGCAAGGCAUGUGCACGCUCCCUACUCAAUCCCACCUUACACCUGUGCAUCUAUUGUAGGUCGGGUGGCUUGGCUCCAUGUCAGGCUGUCCUUCCUAUGUCUACACAUACACUUUAUAGUUUCAGAAUGUAAACUGCGUAUAACGCAUCUAUAAACAACUUUCAACAACGGAUCUCUUGGCUCUCGCAUCGAUGAAGAACGCAGCGAAAUGCGAUAAGUAAUGUGAAUUGCAGAAUUCAGUGAAUCAUCGAAUCUUUGAACGCACCUUGCACUCCUUGGUAUUCCGAGGAGUAUGCCUGUUUGAGUGUCAUGAAUAUCUCAACUCACCCGGUUUUUGUAAAUUGUGGUGGGCUUGGACUUGGAGGUAUGCUGGCUUUACUAGUCGGCUCCUCUUUAAAUGUAUUAGCUGGACCCGUUACGGAUCAGUACUCGGUGUGAUAAUUGUCUACGCCGUGUCUGUGAAGUGCCUUAGUGGAUCAGCUGCUAAUCGUCUUCGGACAAUUUGACAUUUUGACCUCAAAUCAGGUAGGAUUACCCGCUGAACUUAAGCAUAUCAAUAA